UAGCAUAUGGAAGCGAACGAGGGGAACUGAAACAUCUAAGUACCCUCAGGAAAAGAAAUCAACCGAGAUUCCGAAAGUAGCGGCGAGCGAAAUUGGAACAGCCCUUAAGCUGUUUAGAAGUUAGUAGAAUGCUCUGGAAAGUGCAACGAUACAGGGUGAUAGUCCCGUAUAUGACAACUUCUUAAUAGUGAAAACGAGUAGGUCGGGACACGAGAAAUCCUGACUGAAUAUGGGGGGACCAUCCUCCAAGGCUAAAUACUCCUAAUUGACCGAUAGUGAACCAGUACCGUGAGGGAAAGGCGAAAAGAACCCCUGUGAGGGGAGUGAAAUAGAACCUGAAACCGUGUACGUACAAGCAGUAGGAGCCGACUUAGUUCGGUGACUGCGUACCUUUUGUAUAAUGGGUCAACGACUUAAUUUUAGUAGCAAGGUUAACCAUUUAGGGGAGCCGUAGGGAAACCGAGUCUUAACUGGGCGAAUAGUUGCUAGGAUUAGACCCGAAACUUGGUGAUCUAGCCAUGAGCAGGUUGAAGGUUGAGUAACAUCAACUGGAGGACCGAACCCACUAAUGUUGAAAAAUUAGGGGAUGACUUGUGGCUGGGGGUGAAAGGCCAAUCAAACCAAGAGAUAGCUGGUUCUCCUCGAAAGCUAUUUAGGUAGCGCCUCAUGUAUCACUGUUGGGGGUAGAGCACUGUUUAGGCUA
rnacentral:rRNA from 1 species